GUUUUACCGCUGAGGUCUCGGUAACAGGAAGUACGGUUUGUACUGAGCCUUUACCAAAUGAACGAGUGCCAACAAUAACCGCGCGUUUAUGGUCUUGCAGAGCACCAGCGACAAUUUCUGAGGCCGAUGCAGAGCCGCCAUUAAUUAAUACGACUAACGGAACAUCAGGAAAUAAGGUGUCACUCUGGGCUGCAUAAUUCAUGUCAGACAGUGGGUUACGUCCUUUGGUGUACACAAUAAGGCCGUCGCUGACGAAGCUAUCAACCACUUCAACGGCCGCUUGUAAUACGCCUCCCGGGUUGUUACGCA
rnacentral:ncRNA from 1 species